GAUGAACGCUGGCUACAGGCUUAACACAUGCAAGUCGAGGGGUAACGAGAGGAAAGCUUGCUUUCCUUGUCGACGGCCGGCGCACGGGUGAGUAACGCGUAUCCAACCUGCCCCCAACUAGGGAAUAACCUUGCGAAAGUAAGACUAAUACCCUAUAAUUUCCUCAGAUGACAUCUGACGAGGAAUAAAGAUUUAUCGGUUGUGGAUGGGGAUGCGUCUGAUUAGCUUGUUGGCGGGGUAACGGCCCACCAAGGCAACGAUCAGUAGGGGUUCUGAGAGGACGGUCCCCCACAUUGGAACUGAGACACGGUCCAAACUCCUACGGGAGGCAGCAGUGAGGAAUAUUGGUCAAUGGGCGGAAGCCUGAACCAGCCAAGUAGCGUGCAGGAUGACGGCCCUAUGGGUUGUAAACUGCUUUUAUACAGGAAUAAAGUUAGCCACGUGUGGUUAUUUGUAGGUACUGUAUGAAUAAGGACCGGCUAAUUCCGUGCCAGCCGCCGCCGUAA
rnacentral:rRNA from 1 species